UACAGAGGUGGCAAACGUUGUCCGGAUUUAUUGGGUGUAAAGGGCAUGUAGGUGGUUUUGUAAGUCAAAGGUGAAAUGGCCCGGCUCAACCAGGUCAUUGCCUUUGAAACUGCAGAGCUUGAGUACGGAAGAGGAAAGCGGAAUUCCCAGUGUAGCGGUGAAAUGCGUAGAUAUUGGGAGGAACACCAGCGGCGAAGGCGGCGACCUGGUCCAAUACUGACGCUGAGGUGCGAAAGCGUGGGGAGCAAACAGG
rnacentral:rRNA from 1 species